AUGGGCGAAAGCCUGAUCCAGCCAUGCCGCGUGUGUGAAGAAGGCCUUUUGGUUGUAAAGCACUUUAAGCGAGGAGGAGGCUACUUAGAUUAAUACUCUAGGAUAGUGGACGUUACUCGCAGAAUAAGCACCGGCUAACUCUGUGCCAGCAGCCGCGGUAAUACAGAGGGUGCGAGCGUUAAUCGGAUUUACUGGGCGUAAAGCGUGCGUAGGCGGCUUCUUAAGUCGGAUGUGAAAUCCCUGAGCUUAACUUAGGAAUUGCAUUCGAUACUGGGAAGCUAGAGUAUGGGAGAGGAUGGUAGAAUUCCAGGUGUAGCGGUGAAAUGCGUAGAGAUCUGGAGGAAUACCGAUGGCGAAGGCAGCCAUCUGGCCUAAUACUGACGCUGAGGUACGAAAGCAUGGGGAGCAAACAGGAUUAGAUACCCUGGUAGUCCAUGCCGUAAACGAUGUCUACUAGCCGUUGGGGCCUUUGAGGCUUUAGUGGCGCAGCUAACGCGAUAAGUAGACCGCCUGGGGAGUACGGUCGCAAGACUAAAACUCAAAUGAAUUGACGGGGGCCCGCACAAGCGGUGGAGCAUGUGGUUUAAUUCGAUGCAACGCGAAGAACCUACCUGGUCUUGACAUAGUAAGAACUUUCAGAGAUGGAUGGGUGCCUUCGGGACUACAUACAGGUGCUGCAUGGCUGUCGUCAGCUCGUGUCGUGAGAUGUUGGGUAAGUCGCAACGAGCGCCACCCUUUUCCUAUUGCACGGGUUAGCGGACUUAGGAUCUGCAUGACACUGAGAGGC
rnacentral:rRNA from 1 species